UGAGGAACAUGACCUUCGGCGGGGGAUAGCCGGCCCAACGGCCGGGUAAUACCGCGUACGACCACAUGGGGACAUCCCUGAGUGGUGAAAGCAGCAACGCGCCGAUGGAGUGCCUCGCGGCCUAUCAGCUAGUUGGUGAGGUAACGGCUCACCAAGGCGACGACGGGUAGCUGGUCUGAGAGGAUGGCCAGCCACAUUGGGACUGAGACACGGCCCAGACCUCCCGUAAGGGGACGG
rnacentral:rRNA from 1 species